rnacentral:rRNA from 1 species
UACGAAGGGGGCUAGCGUUGCUCGGAAUCACUGGGCGUAAAGGGUGCGUAGGCGGGUUUUUAAGUCAGGGGUGAAAUCCUGGAGCUCAACUCCAGAACUGCCUUUGAUACUGAAGGUCUUGAGUCCGGGAGAGGUGAGUGGAACUGCGAGUGUAGAGGUGAAAUUCGUAGAUAUUCGCAAGAACACCAGUGGCGAAGGCGGCUCACUGGCCCGGUACUGACGCUGAGGCACGAAAGCGUGGGGAGCAAACAGG